rnacentral:rRNA from 1 species
GACGAACGCUGGCGGCGUGCUUAACACAUGCCAGUCGAACGGAAAGGCCCUGCUUUUGUGGGGUGCUCGAGUGGCGAAAGGGUGAGUAACACGUGAGUAACCUGCCCUGGACUUGGGGAUAACUUCAGGAAACUGGGGCUAAUACCGGAUAGGAGCUCUGGCGCCAGGGGGGGGGUGGGAAAUUUUCGGCGGUUGGGGAUGGACUCGCGGCUUAUCAGCUUGUUGGUGGGGUAGUGGCUUACCAAGGCUUUGACGGGUAGCCGGCCUGAGAGGGUGACCGGCCACAUUGGGACUGAGAUACGGCCCAGACUCCUACGGGAGGCAGCAGUGGGGAAUAUUGCACAAUGGGCGGAAGCCUGAUGCAGCAACGCCGCGUGCGGGAUGACGGCCUUCGGGUUGUAAACCGCUUUCGCCUGUGACGAAGCGUGAGUGACGGUAAUGGGUAAAGAAGCACCGGCUAACUACGUG